UGGAGUUAUUUCUACUAUCAAGAUUUACUCCGAUGGAAUAUAGGUAUAAAUAUCCCUUCGACCUGAGACCGCCAUGGUGACUUGCAAGCAACUCACUGCACUUAGGCACUGGACUACUUGAAUUUUUAAUUCAGUGAUGGAAGGCUACUAGGUGUAGUCAAGUACUUGACUUAUCGGUGCGUGUGUCAAGAUGAGAUUGACCAC
rnacentral:lncRNA from 1 species